GGGUCAGUAGGUUGGUCGUGCCACCGGUACGGACUGGUCCCACUGAUUCCUCCUUCCUGAAGAACCGUAAUGCCAUUAAUUUGGUGUUGCGGGGAAACAGGACUGUUACUUUGAAAAAAUUAGAGUGUUUAAAGCAAGCUAACGCUUGAAUACAUUAGCAUGGAAUAAUGAAAUAGGACGAUCGAUCCUAUUUUGUUGGUUUCUAGGAUUGACGUA
rnacentral:rRNA from 1 species